ACGGAGGGUGCGAGCGUUAAUCGGAAUUACUGGGCGUAAAGCGCACGCAGGCGGCUUGUUAAGCUAGAGGUGAAAGCCCCGCGCUCAACGUGGGAACUGCCUUUAGAACUGGCAGGCUAGAGUCUUGGAGAGGGGAGUGGAAUUCCAGGUGUAGCGUGAAAUGCGUAGAUAUCUGGAGGAACAUCAGUGGCGAAAGGCGUCCCUGGCCAAAGACUGACGCUCAUGUGCGAAAGUGCGGGUAGCGAACAGGAUUAGAUACCCCGUGUCAUC
rnacentral:rRNA from 1 species